rnacentral:rRNA from 1 species
ACAUGCAAGUCGAACGCCAGCGCUGGGAGCAUCCUGGCGGCGAGUGGCGAACGGGUGAGUAAUACAUCGGAACGUGUCCUGUAGUGGGGGAUAGCCCGGCGAAAGCCGGAUUAAUACCGCAUACGAUCUACGGAUGAAAGCGGGGGAUCGCAAGACCUCGCGCUAUAGGGGCGGCCGAUGGCGGAUUAGCUAGUUGGUGGGGUAAAGGCCCACCAAGGCGACGAUCCGUAGCUGGUCUGAGAGGACGACCAGCCACACUGGGACUGAGACACGGCCCAGACUCCUACGGGAGGCAGCAGUGGGGAAUUUUGGACAAUGGGCGCAAGCCUGAUCCAGCAAUGCCGCGUGUGUGAAGAAGGCCUUCGGGUUGUAAAGCACUUUUGUCCGGAAAGAAAUCCUCUGGGUUAAUACCCCGGGGGGAUGACGGUACCGGAAGAAUAAGCACCGGCUAACUACGUGCCAGCAGCCGCGGUAAUACGUAGGGUGCGAGCGUUAAUCGGAAUUACUGGGCGUAAAGCGUGCGCAGGCGGUGAUGUAAGACCGAUGUGAAAUCCCCGGGCUUAACCUGGGAACUGCAUUGGUGACUGCAUCGCUGGAGUAUGGCAGAGGGGGGUAGAAUCCACGUGUAGCAGUGAAAUGCGUAGAGAUGUGGAGGAAUACCGAUGGCGAAGGCAGCCCCCUGGGCCAAUACUGACGCUCAUGCACGAAAGCGUGGGG